GAUGAAGAACGUAGCGAAAUGCGAUACUUGGUGUGAAUUGCAGAAUCCCGUGAACCAUCGAGUCUUUUAACGCAAGUUGCGCCCGAAGCCAUUAGGCCGAGGGCACGCCUGCCUGGGCGUCACACGUCGUUGCCCCCCCAUCUACUCCUUCGGGAUUGCGGGGGGCGGAUGAUGGCCUCCCGUGCGCCUCGUCGCGCGGUUGGCAUAAAUACCAAGUCCUCGGCGACGCACGCCACGACAAUCGGUGGUUGCGAAACCUCGGUUGCCCGUCGUGUGCGGUCGUCGCGCAUCGAGGGCUCGAAAAAAUUGCCGGGCUCCGGCUCGGCUUUCAACGCGACCCCAGGUCAGGCGGGGUUACCCGCUGAAUUUAAGCAUAUCAAUAAGCGGAGGA
rnacentral:misc_RNA from 1 species